rnacentral:rRNA from 1 species
GACGAACGCUGGCGGCGUGCCUAAUACAUGCAAGUAGAACGCUGAAGAGAGGAGCUUGCUCUUCUUGGAUGAGUUGCGAACGGGUGAGUAACGCGUAGGUAACCUGCCUUGUAGCGGGGGAUAACUAUUGGAAACGAUAGCUAAUACCGCAUAACAAUGGAUGACACAUGUCAUUUAAUUGAAAGGGGCAAUUGCUCCACUACAAGAUGGACCUGCGUUGUAUUAGCUAGUAGGUGAGGUAAUGGCUCACCUAGGCGACGAUACAUAGCCGACCUGAGAGGGUGAUCGGCCACACUGGGACUGAGACACGGCCCAGACUCCUACGGGAGGCAGCAGUAGGGAAUCUUCGGCAAUGGGGGCAACCCUGACCGAGCAACGCCGCGUGAGGGAAGAAGGUUGUCGGAUCGUAAAGCUCUGUUGUAAGUCAAGAACGGGUGUGAGAGUGGAAAGUUCACACUGUGACGGUAGCUUACCAGAAAGGGACGGCUAACUACGUG